GCGGGCGCCGAGGCCGACGCGGGGUUCGCCGGGGCGCCGGCUGCGGAGGCCCGCGCUCCUCGGUCGCUGAGGCGUGGCGGGGGCGCGGAGGCCGCGGGGCGAGCGCGGUGGUGCCAGGCACGUCAGCGGUGACGCAGGAACCGCGCCGGGACGGUGGUGUGGUGAACGCUGGGGGCUGCUGUGCAGCGGGAGCGUCGGGGAUCCGGCCACCUCGCCUGUGCCUGGGCUGUUCGGGUUCCAGCAUUGUUUUUUUGUUUUUUUUUUUUUCUAUUCCUGGCGAUUUGGAGGGAGGGGAAGCCCGCAAAUCUUUACUCCGUAUAACAUAGUGCCUAUAAACUUGAAAGGGGUGGUGCAGGCGGUCCUUGGGCAUUGGGGUCUGAUACAGGAAGGUGCCAUAUGCCACAGAGUGGGAGGGUCUGAAAGGGUAUGGGAUAUGAAUUAGCGUGAUGGAAUCGAAUUCUGCUUAGAAACUGGACGUGCACCAGGAGCCAUGUGGUCAGCUGAUGAAAUUGCUGAACUAUGUUAUGAGCAUUAUAGGACCAGACUCCCUAAGCAGGGAAAACCAGAUCCAAACAGGGAAUGGACUUCACUGGCAGCUGUUGUCAAAGUGGAGUCUGCAGCCCGAAGAGAGGUUGCUGCUAGACCAGGGAAUCUGCAGGUAACAAAGGAGGUUGUUGCUAUGGGAACUGGAACAAAAUGUAUUGGCCAAAACAAAAUGAGAAAAACUGGAGACAUUCUGAAUGACAGUCAUGCUGAAACUGUAGCCAAGAGGAGCUUCCAGAGGUAUCUUCUCCAUCAGAUGUGCCUGGCCGUUUCUUACCAGCAAUGCAGCAUCUUUAUUCCAGGAACUGAAACAGGGAAAUGGAAACUCAAACCAAAUAUCAUAUUUGUUUUCUUCUCUAGUCAUACCCCAUGUGGAGAUGCUUCUAUUAUUCCAAUUAGUGAACCAGAGAACCAGCUUUCUAAGUCAAUGAAUGGAGCUGAUGCAGCUGGACAGUCAGCACAGUGUAGUAGUAACCAUGAUCAUUUGGGUUUCGAAGAUAAAAAGAAAUUGGAGAAAAUGUCAAGUAAUCAUAUAAUCAAGAGAAUGAAAAAUAAUGAUGGUGGUUGGUUUUCCAUGAUCACUGAAGAUCUGCCUGUUCAGCAAGUAUUUGUGAAACCAGAAGGCAACGCUAAUCCAAAGAGUUGUGAGUGUUCUGCACAGAUGCAAGCAGCUAAUGAGACUGGCUUAAGCAGACUGAAGGCAGUAGAUGUUUAUAGAACUGGAGCAAAAUGUGUACCUGGAGAGCUGGAUGAUGCCAGAGUACCUGGGAUAGGGUAUCACCGUGUAGGAUUAUUACGAGUGAAGCCAGGUCGCGGGGUCAGAACAUGCUCUAUGUCCUGCAGUGAUAAACUGGCUCGCUGGAAUGUGUUGGGGUGUCAAGGAGCUCUCCUGAUGCAUUUUCUUCAAUAUCCAGUGUAUUUGUCAGCAAUUAUAGUGGGGAAGUGUCCAUAUAGCCAAGAAGCUAUGCGGAGAGCAAUUAUUGAAAGGUGUCAGCAUGUCUCAUUUUUACCAGAUGGUUUUCUCACUCAGGAGGUUAAACUGCUGCAAUCAGAACUUCGAUUUGAACAUAGCCGUCAGGCAGUCCAGGAAGUUCAAACUAACAGCAAAACAAAACUUGUUCCCUGUAGCGCGGCUAUCAGUUGGAGUGCAGUUCCUGAACAACCUCUGGAUGUCACCUCAGAUGGUUUCCGGCAGGGAACAACAAAGAAGGGGAUUGGGAGCCAUCAGAGCAGAUCCAAGAUCUGUAAAGUGGAACUCUUCCAUGCAUUUCAAAAGCUGGUGACAAGUAUUUCACAAGAGAAUCUACCAGACACUCUCCGGAUGAAGACCCUAAGAACAUACUGGGACUACAAGGAAGCUGCAUCAAGUUAUCAAGAAGCCUGGAAAGUGCUGCGCAGCCAAGCGCUGCUGGGCUGGGUCAAGAAUGCCCAGGAAUACCUGGAGUUCACAUGAGAAUAAAAGCAACUGUAAAUACAUCAAAAUGCCCUGAAACCCAGCAGAUACCUAUGCUACUCAAGGGCCAGUAAAGAUGUCCUCUAGUUCCUGUGCUAUAAGUAGAUAAGACUGAAAAGGAAAGUAAAAUCGGAGAUCUCUUUGUUUUGGUUGAUUUGCACCCUGCCCUGCACUCCCCUCCCCCCUUUAUUUAACUGUAGAGAAGAAUCACUGCAUAUUUAGUUCUGAGCUGCAUGAAACAAUGUGCCUUCAAAAGUAAGGAAGCAGUGAUGCAAAUCAUCGUUUUUCUGAGGAUAUGAUUUAUCAGCCGUAGUCUGUUGAAAUGGAAGUAAUGUCAACUGAAAUUUAAACAGUACUAUGGAAGAAGGGCUGUCUUUUUAAAACUUUGGUGCUGGUUUUCCUUCUGCUCUUCAUAAUGUUGUUAUUGCUUUUGUGUUGCUGGGACAACCCUAAUGUAUAGACUUUGCCAGAAACCCCUUCACAGUUGAUGUGCUUCUGUGGACAGGAAAGAAAUCUCCUGAAUUACUUGGCUCGAUCUUGUUCAACACUGGGUUUUUAUUGGUCGUUUUUGUUUGGUUGCUUGCUUGGUUCAGGGUCUGUUUUUUCUUUUUCUCCAGUGAUACAUGGUUCAUUAAAAGCAGGGAUGCCGUAAGCAUUUAUGUCAGUGUUUCCUGGCAAGUGUUCAUUAAUAGCCUGGCAAAGGUGGAAACACUCUGAUGGGGACUGUAAGUAGUCUCUGACAGUCUUUGCAAUCUUUGCCUUUAUGCUUUAUUACCAAUAACAUCUGCAUGAUAAAACAAUCCACAUUGCUAGCUGGGGGGAGGGAGGGGAACAAUGGGUAAUCAUCCUCAAGCUUUCUGUCCCAAUUAUUACCUUCUGUGAGUAAUUUCAGGACUGUGUCGCUGCUACUGAGCAUGCUCCCUUUCUGUACUUUUUCUGCUAUAACCUACUAUUCCUAAAAUAUUCGGACAAUGUAAUGGCAGAAUGAAAGAAAGUGUUUAAUUUGGAUCUUAAGAAUUCUUUAGUUAUUUGA